rnacentral:rRNA from 1 species
ACCAAGCCAAAGAGAGAAAGUGUAUAAAGAUAAAUAUAAAUUAGAUAGAAAGAACACGAGGGUUUGAUUCAAUGCUCCGUAAGCAUGCAACAAUAAACGGACAGACACAUGCAAGGUCUAUAAAAUGAUCGUAAAGGUGAGUAACAACGC